rnacentral:rRNA from 1 species
AUUGAACGCUGGCGGCAUGCCUUACACAUGCAAGUCGGACGGCAGCACGGGAGCAAUCCUGGUGGCGAGUGGCGAACGGGUGAGUAAUGUAUCGGAACGUGCCCAGUCGUGGGGGAUAACGGGGGGAAAGUUACGCUAAUACCGCAUACGAUCUUUGGAUGAAAGCGGGGGAUCGUAAGACCUCGCGCGAUUGGAUGUGGCGAUAUCAGAUUAGGUAGGUGGUGGGGUAAAGGCUCACCAAGCCGACGAUCGGUAGCCGGUCUGAGAGGACGACCAGCCACACUGGGACUGAGACACGGCCCAGACUCCUACGGGAGGCAGCAGUGGGGAAUUUUGGACAAUGGGCGCAAGCCUGAUCCAGCAAUGCCGCGUGCAGGACGAAGGCCUUCGGGUUGUAAACUGCUUUUGUACGGAACGAAACGGUCCUCUUUAAUACAGAGGGCUAAUGACGGUACCGUAAGAAUAAGCACCGGCUAACUACGUGCCAGCCGCCGCAGUAA